CCCGUGAGAACGCCCUUUUCCCUCAACCAGAUGAAGGAGCCGGCAUCAGGCACAGAUUCCUAGCCCAUAACGCCUAGUUUCACCACACCCUCAAGGGCAUUCAGCAGUGACUAAUAUUACUUAUAAGCGCCAGCUUGAUUUAGUUAAAGAAAGUUAGAGCCGGCCAAUCCGGUGCCAGCCGCCGCGGCUACACCAGCAGGCUCAAGUUGAUAGCCAUCGGCGUUAAGCGUGAUUAAAGAAACCCUAAAUUAGAGUUGAAUAUGAAUUUAGUAGUGAUAAGCUUAUUACUUAGAAAAACAAAAACGAAAGUUACUCUAAUCUUGCUUGAAUACACGACAGCCAGGGUACAAACUGGGAUUAGAU
rnacentral:rRNA from 1 species